rnacentral:misc_RNA from 1 species
CUAGUUAGACAAGUGUUCUCUGCUCUGGGAGAUUUUAUUUCUUUAAUUCACUUGUAUUGAGAAUUAUUUGAAGAAUAUUACCUUUUUACAGCAGAAGAAAAUUGAAGAAGUUGUACGGAGUCGGAUUUACCUUAGAUUUUGGUAGAGGCGAUAAGUUCGAGAAGUACGAGGGGAAAUCACUCACUAAAGCAGACUGACCAAGACGAGACUUUGGA